rnacentral:rRNA from 1 species
GCCACGGUCCAUGCCACCCUGAACAAUGUCUGAUCUCAAAAGCUAAGCAGGGUCGGGCUUCGUUAGUACUUGGAUGGGAGACCACCUAGGAAGACCAGGUGCUAAAGGCA